rnacentral:rRNA from 1 species
UACGGAGGGUGCAAGCGUUAUCCGGAUUCACUGGGUUUAAAGGUGCGUAGGUGGCUGGUAAGUCAGUGGUGAAAUCUCCAGGCUUAACUGGAAACUGCCAUUGAUACUAUCAGUCUUGAAUACCGUUGGAGGUCAGCGGAAUAUGUCAUGGUAGCGGUGAAAUGCUUAGAUAUGACAUAGAACACCAAUUGCGAAGGCAGCUCGCU